CGGACGGGUGAGUAAUGUCUGGGAAACUGCCUGAUGGAGGGGGAUAACUACUGGAAACGGUAGCUAAUACCGCAUAACGUUGCAAGACCAAAGAGGGGGACCUUAGGGCCUCUUGCCAUCGGAUGUGCCCAGAUGGGAUUAGCUAGUAGGUGGGGUAACGGCUCACCUAGGCGACGAUCCCUAGCUGGUCUGAGAGGAUGACCAGCCACACUGGAACUGAGACACGGUCCAG
rnacentral:rRNA from 1 species